AGCAGCCGCGGUAAUUCCAGCUCCAAUAGCGUAUAUUAAAGUUGUUGCAGUUAAAAAGCUCGUAGUUGAAUUUCGGGGUCAGUAGGCUGGUCAUGCCACAGGUAUGUACUGGUCUCACUGAUUCCUCCUUCCUGAUGAACCGUAAUGCCAUUAAUUUGGUGUUGCGGGGAAACUGGACUGUUACUUUGAAAAAAUUAGAGUGUUUAAAGCAGGCUAACGCUUGAAUACAUUAGCAUGGAAUAAUGAAAUAGGACGUUCGAUCCUAUUUUGUUGGUUUCUAGGAUUGACGUAAUGAUUAAUAGGGAUAGUUGGGGGCAUUAGUAUUCAAUUGUCAGAGGUGAAAUUCUUGGAUUUAUUGAAGACUAACUACUGCGAAAGCAUUUGCCAAGGAUGUUUUCAUUAAUCAAGAACGAAAGUUAGGGGAUCGAAGACGAUCAGAUACCGUCGUAGUCUUAACCAUAAACUAUGCCGACUAGGGAUCGGACGAAGUUAAUUUUAUAAUGACGCGUCGGUCACCUUA
rnacentral:rRNA from 1 species